rnacentral:rRNA from 1 species
AUGAAGGCCUUCUGGGUUGUAAACUUCUUUUACCUGGGAAGAAAUCCCUUAUUUCUAUGAGGGUUGACGGUACCAGAGGAAUAAGCACCGGCUAACUCCGUGC